GACGAACGCUGGCGGCGUGCCUAAUACAUGCAAGUCGAGCGGACCAAAGGGAGCUUGCUCCUGGAGGUUAGCGGCGAACGGGUGAGUAACACGUGGGCAACCUGCCUGUAAGACUGGGAUAACAUCGAGAAAUCGGUGCUAAUACCGGAUAAUAAAAAGAACUGCAUGGUUCUUUUUUGAAAGAUGGUUUCGGCUAUCACUUACAGAUGGGCCCGCGGCGCAUUAGCUAGUUGGUGAGGUAACGGCUCACCAAGGCAACGAUGCGUAGCCGACCUGAGAGGGUGAUCGGCCACACUGGGACUGAGACACGGCCCAGACUCCUACGGGAGGCAGCAGUAGGGAAUCUUCCGCAAUGGACGAAAGUCUGACGGAGCAACGCCGCGUGAGUGAUGAAGGUUUUCGGAUCGUAAAACUCUGUUGUUAGGGAAGAACAAGUGCCGUUCGAAAGGGCGGCACCUUGACGGUACCUAACGAGAAAGCCACGGCUAACUACGUAGCCAGCAGCCGCGGUAA
rnacentral:rRNA from 1 species